UCCCCGGUGGUCCAGUGGUUAGGACACUGCACUUCCACUGCAGGGGGCGCGGGUUCUAUCCCUGUUCGGGGAA